CGGUUUAGCUCAGCUGGCAGAGCAACGCAUUCGUAAUGCGUAGGUCGUUGGUUCGAAUCCGACAUCCG
rnacentral:tRNA from 1 species